GACAGAGGAGGCAAGCGUUGUCCGGACUUAUUGGGCGUAAAGCGCGCGUAGGCGGCGCGGUAUGUCGUGCGUGAAAUCUCCCGGCUUAACUGGGAGGGGCCGUGCGAAACUGCCGGGCUUGAGGUCGGAAGGGGAAAGUGGAAUUCCGGGUGUAGUGGUGGAAUACGUAGAUAUCCGGAGGAACACCAGCGGCGAAGGCGGCUUUCUGGUCCGAUACUGACGCUGAGGUGCGAAAGCGUGGGGAGCGAUCCGG
rnacentral:rRNA from 1 species